GUGGCGCACGGGUGAGUAACACGUGGAGAACCUACCCUUUUGCGGGGGAUAACCAUUGGAAACGAUGACUAAUACCGCAUAGAAUCGCAGAUCGCAUGAUCAACGAAGGAAAGACGGCUUCGGCUGUCACAAAAGGAUGGCUCCGCGGUGCAUUAGCUAGAUGGUGGGGUAACGGCCUACCAUGGCAAUGAUGCAUAGCCGACCUGAGAGGGUGAUCGGCCACAUUGGGACUGAGACACGGCCCAAACUCC
rnacentral:rRNA from 1 species